rnacentral:misc_RNA from 1 species
GCAGAUAGAGGAUCCCAAGGGACCCCAUGCCAACAUCAGGUUCCGUAUCCAAGAUAACAAGCAACGCUCAAUGUGCCACAGCAUCAAUGCAAGCAUUAACGAUGUGGUGCAAAGAGACAGCUUCAAGGUUCAUCCAAUGCCAUGUUAGUGACACAAGACGAAAGCAACUUUGAUCAGCCAAAGACAAUACCAUAGCUUAGGUAGGCAACACAGGAAACCCACAGUAUGCCUAAGCGAAAAACGCCUAAACAAACAAUUGAAGAGGUAAGCCAGGUGGAAGUUGUUGCGCAAGCAAAGAGCCAACCACCCGUAACAAACCAAACACCACUCAUGCACCUUUACGGUUGGCAUUCCCAAAGACCACAAUGCUAAUAGACACCCACCAUAAGCCUAGAGGCCAAGGAAG